GUUUGUCACCUCUUAGCCGUGCCUACUGGGUCACUGUGUCCUUAGCAGGAAAAAGAAAGAACUGGGGAAUAGCAGGCGAUUCUUUCCUUUCUAUAAGGCAGCUCCAUCUGCAGGGGAUGGGCGGCUCCUUGCUCAAGGGAGUGGAGCACAACCUCUCUCCAGUCCCUGGCUUCCUGUGACACUAUGCGAGCGCCAGGAGAGACAUCAGGAGUGGAAGACUUUGGGGAAGCGAACUUCACCAAUACUGUCUAGGCUGGGCCCAAGCUCAUGGCAAUCCUCCUGCCUCAGCCUCCUGAGUGCUGGGAUUACAGGUGCACACCACCACGCAUGGCUGAUAUUCUGGAAAAGGCUAAAAUACAGAGAUGGAAAACAUAUAAGAAGUGGUGCUGGGGAUUGAACCCACACAUCCCAGGCAAGUGCUCUCUCACUGAGCUGCACCCCAGCC
rnacentral:lncRNA from 1 species